ensembl:snoRNA SNORD29 Small nucleolar RNA SNORD29
UCUCUGUGAUGAAGAUACUUAGCUCACUUUGAAUCCAUGUGAAAAGUACAGAACAUCUGAGAGAU